CUCUACUUCAAUCCUGACCUCCAGGCUGACCUGAGCCUUUUGAAAAAUUAUUCACAUGUAUGAGGUCAACAUACUGUGGGUACAUCAACACAUUACUCACAGAAUAUCUAACUCAUGUGUGUAUUUGAACUAAGAGAGGACUCUUAAAAUGCUUGAAAUGUAACACAUGAAGUGGUGUGGACUUUGACGUAGGGAUACAGUGGAUGAAGGUUGGUCUCACAACCAGACAGCAAGAAAGACAGAACAGCCCUCCUUAUGCCACAUAGCUAAUGGCAGGGAUGAAUAAUAGAGCCUUUAAAGCCCUUACUGCCACCUCAUUCUGGCCUGCACAUAAGCUUGAGCUCUAGGUGGGCAGUUAGCCAUCAAGCCCCUCGCUGAGAUGAGAUGAGCUCCCAAGAAGAUUGGGGAUGGGGGUGAAGAAAAUCGGAUUAACCAAAAUGCCUCAAUUGGAAGAAAUGCUCUGGGCUGACCUCAUUGUAAUACCAUUGAUAAAUGCUGUAAACCAAAUCUUUAGCAUCUGAUUAGAUAAUGGAGGAAAUCACAACCUUUGUCUGUGGGAUGCAAUGGUUCAAAACACACAGAAUGUGAGUUUUUAAAAACAAAAAAACGAGAGACAAUAGGGACUUCUACAAAUAGCCAAGUUUGCUACUAUAGAAACAAAUAAAUGGGGAAAUAAUAAAUUGCCAGGAGCUGUGGACAGGUGGCAUUUCAGUCUACACCGUUUAGCUGUGCAGUCUGGUUUCUGACAGCUUGAUUUAGUCUCCCACACCUGAGCCAGAAAACAGAGAGAAAAUUAACGGCAGGGAAAACAGCUUAACUAGAUUCCAAUUUGCCUGCUUUGAAACACAAUUGAUGAAGCUAAUGCACAUGGAAAACACAGAAUGCAGUUUUUGGUAGAGUACCAAGCUUACUUUGAUUGUGCGAAGUCUGUGCACACUAAUUCAGGGUCAGACAGGAAGGUAAUAGUACUAAUUUAAUUUACCCCUGUUUUGUUCUAUCCUGCUUCGGGGGGUGGGGGGUAAGGGUUUACCUUUAGGGUGUAAAACUGAGAUUAUAGUGGCUCAAGAGGAGAUAACAUGCUGUUCUCCCUGCUGUGAUUCGGGUGUAAUCCUUCAGUUUUAGAGAAGUGAAAAGUUUGUAAAGUCCAGAAAGUUAUGAAUACAUCCCUUCUGGGCCCCCUACAGAGCAGAGAGUCUGAGACAGCAGGGGAUAACCAUAUGCUAUCAAAGUGUUCUUCAAAGCUCCCAUCUUUAGUCGACUAAAUUAUACAGUAUCAUCACAUAUACCUGACAAAAAUAGAAGAAACGUAAUUAUGCAGCCUAAUGUACUAAUGGGGGAAAAAACAUUACUAGAAAAAAUAUGUAUUUCGGAAGUCUGGCCACUUUGAAAGGUAAAUAAUUUUCUUUUUCACUCGAAUGCGUUUGUUUAAACUGCGUUUGUGCUCCAGUAGUGUGGGUCAGCUCAUCAUUUUGUUUUUACAUGCUUUUAAAAUACUGCUGCUGGUGAACAAUUAAAAAUUUAUGAUUCCUAUCACAAUGAGCUCCUUCACUGUUACCAGAGGUUAAUUUGUGCUCGCCCCUCAUUUCAAUUGUACCGUAGUAAAUGUCCACAUUAUUUCCCACAUGGGCCUGGAUGAGGGGUUUGAUUAUCCAAAGGUAGACCUUGGUUGGCUCUGUUAUUAUCAGAGGGGCCGUAAGCUGCAGUAACAGCUUCUAGGGUCUUAUUGCCAUGGCGAUCAGCCCCUUGCCACUUGGCCUCCGUGACCCUAGUCAGAGAUAAGCUUUAUGGGAAAGCACAUUAACAUGCUCUGGCAGUCACCUCCCUCCUUUAUCAAAGGCAGUUCUGUGAAAUCAAGUGUUUAUGGACCCCCAGUGAGGGUAUAGUGCUGCUGAUUGCCCAUAUUAGAGGUUGACUGUAAAUGAGCUCGAGGUGGACAAAGGACUUGUAGCAGUUGGGAGAAUUGAGGAUACGUAAUAGUGAUGUUAUCCUCACUAAAUGAGCAAUAUCUUUAAUGACUGCAACACCCCAUGAGCAGGUUACUAGCCCCUGGAUUACAAAUGCUGUCUGCAGCCUAAAUAUAUCCAUGUCUUCCAUUCUUUCUACAAAAACUGACAAAACUAUAACAAUAAAAAUGCAAAAUCUGCUUUUGGAUAUGGUGUAACAUAUUUUGUAGUCAUUUAUUCUAUUCGCACUAUACUGUAAGUGGCAGCUUCUUCUUCGACUGUCUUCUCAUUUUUGUUGCACUACAUCCAUUAAAUAAAACAUUUUAAAGGCCUUUUUUCUACAUUUCCAAGCACACUGAUGUGGGCAUUUUUCUGUGGCUAUGAAAGGCACAAUUCGAAAAAGAAUGUGUCAGUGCCGAGUGCCUGCUUAGAGCCUGAUCGCUGAUAUAAGAUCAUCUCAGUAUGUCCGCAAUGAUGGAUGGUGAUAGCCCAGUGUCUUUGUACAAAUCAGGAGGCCCUCCUGUUGUCACUGACUGGACAGAUACAGGAAGCAUGAAAGAGAGAGACGCAGCCACAGCUUAAUGUCCUUCUCUGGUGCUGUGCAUGCUCUUUCCUAUUUGCUUUUCCCUUCACGGCACGGUUAACAUCGUAAAUUAACCUUUCCAAGCCCCCUGUGCUCAGAGACUAGUGCGCAAUACAGACAAAGGGAAAACUAGAUCUCUGUUAUGCAAUGCGGUAGCACUGGUCAGAGACAAAGCCUGUUACAGAACUGAGCUAUUCCUUUUGCAGUGAAGGGGAAUAAAACAACACACCUUGUUUAGUCGAGCAAACAUUCUCUUUUAUGUGCAUGUCCCAUGUACUCAAAUCGGUAUGAGGCUGCUUUUUGUUCUCCAUCCUAGAAAUGUAAAUGAAACACAUGAAAGAAAAUGUAUUGUAGUCUUUUCUUCCUAGUUCAAGUCUGUAAAUAGGAUGUAAAUACCAAACAGCUAUGCAUGCUAAUAUACAAGCAAUUUGUUCAGGUACUUUUGUAAUCCCGACUUCUCAUAUGGCAUGUAGUGACGACAAGAAGCAAACACUGAAAAUCAUAAGAAAUUGUAAACACGGAUAUGGUUUGUAAACAACUUCAAAACUGAAAAGUAUAUGUCUUUGCUGUUAAUGUUUUCUUACUGAUAACUAAUGCAUUGGCCUGCCAUUUACUACACUGCUCUGCUCAUGUUACUUUUUAUCUUUUUUAUGUUUCGUAAGGUAGGGCUGAGGCAAAAAAAAUAAAAAAAUAAAUCACUGGUUUGUGGUCUAGUUGGGAUGGGGACUAAGAAGCUGAGGGGAAAGCAGUCAGAUCAUGUUUGUAGGUCUUUUGCUUUUUUGUUGAUUUGUUUUUCUUUUCUUUUUUUGAGUUUCUUUUUUCCAUUGCCACUGCAUGUUUACAUGCAUACGCUUAAUAAUUAAUGACAUAUUCUGAAUGUCUUCCACAAUAAAUCAAGUGUUGUGGCAAAACUACUUAAAAGUAGUGAAACUGCAGUGCAAUUUUAGUUAUUUCACCAAAAAAGUCUUAUCACCAGCUUUAGAGUGUGCUCUUUAAAAAAAGGCAUUAAUCUGUUUUCUAUAAAAGAAAUAACAAUUCUGUAAAUGUCUGUAAAUUCCGAUUAACAACAAACUACAAAGCUGGUACAACAGGCAAUUUUGACUCCAAAUUGUCCAACUCAUGACAUGCAAGGGAAAGAGUUUUUGAUAUUUUUUUUCUAAUAUUAAAAGAAUAAUAAUGUCCAAUGAAAAAUGAUAAUCUAUAUUUCAAAUUUGCCUCUGCCCUAGCAACUCUAAUGUGACAUUUUAUGAAAACAGAAAUAGGGAGGAGUGAAAAUAAAAAAUUGUUUUUGUUUCUAGAGGAUUUAUUUUCAACCAUGUUAGAACCAUGUUAAAUCCCAAGGCGCUCAUAGUAGAUGGAAGUGUCUAAUUUUUAACCUGUGCUAAAGAUAUUUUGAAUUUAAUAAAUAAUUAUUGUAAAGAGAAAACA
ensembl:lncRNA